GACGUAGGGCGCGAGCGUUGUCCGGAUUUAUUGGGCGUAAAGAGCUCGUAGGCGGCUUGUCGCGUCGACCGUGAAAACUCGCAGCUCAACUGCGAGCCUGCGGUCGAUACGGGCAGGCUAGAGUUCGGUAGGGGAGACUGGAAUUCCUGGUGUAGCGGUGAAAUGCGCAGAUAUCAGGAAGAACACCUAUGGCGAAGGCAGCUCUCUGGGACGGUACUGACGCUGAGACGCGAAAGCGUGGGGAGCGAACAGG
rnacentral:rRNA from 1 species